rnacentral:rRNA from 1 species
AGUGAACGCUGGCGGUAGGCCUAACACAUGCAAGUCGAACGGCAGCACAGUAAGAGUUUGCUCUUACGGGUGGCGAGUGGCGGACGGGUGAGGAAUACAUCGGAAUCUACUUUUUCGUGGGGGAUAACGUAGGGAAACUUACGCUAAUACCGCAUACGACCCACGGGUGAAAGCAGGGGAUCUUCGGACCUUGCGCGAUUGAAUGAGCCGAUGUCGGAUUAGCUAGUUGGCGGGGUAAAGGCCCACCAAGGCGCCGAUCCGUAGCUGGUCUGAGAGGAUGGUCAGCCACACUGGAACUGAGACACGGUCCAGACUCCUACGGGAGGCAGCAGUGGGGAAUAUUGGACAAUGGGCGCGAGCCUGAUCCAGCCAUACCGCGUGGGUGAAGAAGGCCUUCGGGUUGUAAAGCCCUUUUGUUGGGAAAGAAAAGCAGCAGGUUAAUACCCCGCUGUUCUGACGGUACCCAAAGAAUAAGCACCGGCUAACUUCGUG